rnacentral:misc_RNA from 1 species
AACAAAGAAUGCUCUCCCAGUCUAUCAAGAAGAAAAUGUGGAAGUUUUCUCACUGACUUAUCUCCAUGUCCCUUAAACACAAAAUUUGUCCUUUUUGCGGUAUGGAAGGCAUGNNNNAGGCAUGAUCAUAGCCUCAAGAAUCACUAACAAGGCUGUUAAACAACAAAACUUCCCUCUUCAAAAGCUCUCCUUCUGGUUCGCUCCCCCCACUCGUCCUCCAGGCCUACGUUAUUCCGCUUUCCGCUCAUAAAACUAACAAGCUAGCACAUAUAUACAUAUCCGGC